UUCCUCCCUCUGACGUCUAAUACCACUAAACACUGUAUUGGUCCACAGGGGCUGUGUAUUGGUCAACACAUUGUGCGUUGCACAUUAUCGCACUUGUAAGCGUGCCACGCUGGCUUUAUGACACAGAAAAACUGAAUCGAUUGCGCGGGGUAAGCUCAAGCCUUCACCAUUCCGCCCAGAACACAGCCUCUUCAGUGUAUCGUAGACAUUGACACGUGAUAACGUCAACAUCCCGUGUUUAUUACGUCUUCGUCUGAUAUCGGUGCCAUUUUGGACUUAUCCUCGUCGUGUCCAUGGCAGUGGCAGCGGCGUCAGCCGGAGGCUGUUCUGCGACUAGGAGACAUGACUAUGCUGACGACGAUGUACGACUCCCAUGGGACAAGAAAAAAUCCAAACAGGGAAAGAACAAAUACACCAAAACGUCCACCAAACCCACCUCAGUAAGCAGCUCUCCGAAGAAAGAGGACGAGACGAAACCACCCAGUGCUAAGUGUAGUGUUUUGUAGCGGUACUGACGACUGUCUCGUCAUGACGGGUACCAGACAGUUAACACCCAGUGCUGAGUCGAGUUAUUUACAGCAGUAUGGACGAUUGUUGUCAUGACGAGUACAGAUUGGCUUUAUUAUUCGCACACACCGUACAAUCAAACAUGGAGUACAAAUAAUAUCGCUAUCGAUAUGUACUAUAUCACCUGCGUCAGCUGAGGAGGAAAAGCAUUGUCCAGAGUUCAAAGGGCAACCAUCAUCCUGGACAAUACCGUAGUUCAACAUAUUCCAUUUGUUGUUUUCUAACAAUACCUAGGUAGGAGCUAUUUCAUUCGCUAUGAAUUAUAUGAAGUACUUUACCUUUUUCAUUAGUGUGCCAAUAUCUUAUCUCGCUCCUCGACGAUAACAGCAUGGUCAGACCUGUUUCAUCCAUUGGAAUCUGACAGUUUAAAGUUCAUUUUAGUAUUGGAAAAAUACGUGUAGUCUCGCGCUUAGAUUGUAUCUGCUGAAGAGGAAAUAAAAGAUGUGUUUUAAUUCGCUUUAAAAAA